UACAAGUGACGCGACGCGGUGGGACACAAAAUUGUAUAUAAUCGUGAAAAAUUGUGAAAAUUUAGAAUCAAAAGUGCAAAGUGUGGUAAUUGAGGUUAUGUCGUCCAUGGAAGAUGGGCAAAUUCUUCAGGCUUCUCUCAAAUUUAAAGGUGAUUCAGAGCUCCGAGACUUCCGGGAUUAUUUCGGGAAUGAAGUGGACCUUAUCAAGUUGCAGUCAGAUGUUACAGAACCACCCUUGAAUACUCUAGUAAGGGAUCCGGACGAUCUUAAUGAUGCCGAAAGUGGAAGUGUAGACGGAGGAAUUUUUGUCCCUGAACUUAACUUUUCUAUCCUUCUUGAAGUUGGUCCAGAGCCUCCAAGUGAAUCUGGGAGUGUGUUGGAACACAUCCAGUAUCCAGUCGCUGCCAGAUGAUUCUGAAAACAAUUCUAAUACGAUAAAAAGGGAUAAAGAAGAGGCAGAAAACGAAGAAGUCUGGGACGAUGUCAAAUUACCAGUUCGGAAGAAAAGAGCAAAGCCUGAUUCAUGGGCACAGAAUUUGAGAAAAGCGUCAAGAGAUAAAGGUGAGGAAUACGUAAACAGAAAUGGUAUCAUUAUCCCUCAAAGACA